rnacentral:rRNA from 1 species
CCUACGGGAGGCAGCAGUGAGGAAUAUUGGUCAAUGGCCGUAAGGCUGAACCAGCCAAGUCGCGUGAAGGAAGACGGAUCUAUGGUUUGUAAACUUCUUUUAUAGGGGAAUAAAGGUAUCCACGUGUGGCUAUUUGCAUGUUCCCUAUGAAUUAGCAUCGGCUAACCCCGUGCCAGCAGCCGCGGUAAUCCGGAGGAUGCGAGCGUUAUCCGGAUUUAUUGGGUUUAAAGGGUGCGUAGGUUGUUUUUUAAGUCAGCGGUGAAAGUUUGUGGCUCAACCAUGAACUUGCCGUUGAAACUGGGAGACUUGGGUGUGUUGGAGGAAGGCGGAAUGGGGGGGGUGGCGGGGAA